rfam:Ixodes scapularis strain Wikel colony gcontig_1108379316440, whole genome shotgun sequence.
CCAGUCGUAGCCGAGUGGUUAAGGCGGUGGACUUGAAAUCCAUUGGGGUCUCCCCGCACAGGCUCGAAUCCUGUCGAUUGCG